UACGUAGGGUGCGAGCGUUGUCCGGAAUUAUUGGGCGUAAAGAGCUUGUAGGCGGUUUGUCGCGUCUGCCGUGAAAAUCCGGGGCUCAACCCCGGACUUGCGGUGGGUACGGGCAGACUAGAGUGUGGUAGGGGAGACUGGAAUUCCUGGUGUAGCGGUGAAAUGCGCAGAUAUCAGGAGGAACACCGGUGGCGAAGGCGGGUCUCUGGACCGAUACUGACACUGAGGAGCGAAAGCGUGGGGAGCGAACAGG
rnacentral:rRNA from 1 species